AAAAUGAGAGUUUGAUCCUGGCUCAGGACGAACGCUGGCGGCGUGCCUAAUACAUGCAAGUCGAGCGAGCAAAGUUAAAGGAAUACUUCGGUAGGAAUUUAAUAGCGCGAGCGGCGGAUGGGUGAGUAACACGUGGGCAACCUGCCCUUUAGCUUGGGAUACCACUUGGAAACAGGUGCUAAUACCAAAUAAGAAGUAAGAGCGCAUGCUCAAGCUAUGAAAGGCGGCUUUCGAGCUGUCACUAAAGGAUGGGCCCGCGGUGCAUUAGCUAGUUGGUAAGGUAACGGCUUACCAAGGCAAUGAUGCAUAGCCGAGUUGAGAGACUGAUCGGCCACAUUGGGACUGAGACACGGCCCAAACUCCUACGGGAGGCAGCAGUAGGGAAUCUUCCACAAUGGACGCAAGUCUGAUGG
rnacentral:rRNA from 1 species